CCGGCUGUCUACGGAUACUAAAGUCCAUAUGGGCGCCACGCUACUCAAACACCGAGCCGAGCAAGAUGGCUGCCGAAACAAGCUGCGCAAUUGGUUGUCCGGGGUCGAGUGGGUUCUCAACCUUAUCGCGCCUCGCCGUGAGCGAUAAGCAUUCGCUGCGUGACAGAUUUGAACUCAGUCUUCACAGCCCCUGCACUGCAAACUGCAAGAGAGACACUGCCAGAGAAAGGGAAUAAAGGUUCACGAACAAGCCAGAGCAACGGACUGAGAAAAGAGACACACUUCCAUUUGAAUCACGCGAUGCAUAGAACUGGAAAAAGACAUUUUUACGUUGCUCACAUAAUGCAGAAAGAUGUGAAGACGCUGGUAUAGGGAAGCCUCACCAGAGGCUAUGGUUGGAAUUUAUGACGUUAUGCCCCGUGCAUGCACAAAGUAUAUACGGAGAACCGGGUUGAAGAUGUGAUGUUCUAUAGAAUACGCUCAGAGUCUGUAUUUACCCUUCAUGAUCAGACAAAAUAAAUACAGAAGAAAGUGAUUCCUAA